rnacentral:lncRNA from 1 species
AGUCCUGCCAACAGCUGUGAGUGAGCAUGGACGCAGAUCCUCUCCCAGUGGAGCAUUUGGAUGACCACGGCUCUGGCUAACACCUCACUUACAGCCUUGGGAGAGAUUCUGAGUCAGAGGCAUCCAGCUAAAUUGACCCACAGACACGGUAAAUCAGGGAUUUCUUCUUGGUUUGGAUCCACUGUUGAUUUUAGGUUACAAAAAGAUGGCAGAUUGCAUCUUGGGCACUCUCUUGUAUGACUUUUUGGAGAAGCCAGUUUUCAUGUUGUGAGAGGCCUGGCAGAGGGGCCCAAAUGAGUUCGCUGGGAAGCGGAUCACAGAAACCAUGAGGCCUAUAAAAGCCCCAGGCUCAGCCAGAGCAGAGCAGAUGAUGGAUGACCAGCUGCAGAGAAGAGCUACCCUUUCUGCUGACAGCAGAAGAUGUCCCAACAACCAGCAGAAGAGAGAAGCUAUCCAUUCUAGGGCCUCUUCUCUGCUGAGAGCUUCAGAAACCUGCAGAGACAUCGAGACUACCAGCUGCAGAGUGGAACAAUCCACUCCAGGGCCACCUCUCUGCUGAGAGCUAAGAAGACAAUGAGAUGACCUGCCUGCUAGGAGGAGCUUCCCUCUCCAGGGUCUCCUUUCUGCUAGGAGCUGAACUCUCAUUGGAACAUCCUGGCUGUGGAAAGGAGCUACCCUCUGCAGGUCUCCUGUGUGCUGUUCUAUUGAUCAAUAAAGCUCCCCUUCAUCUCGCUCAUCCUCCACUUGGCUCUGUACCUCAUGCUUCCUAGUUGCAGGACAAGAACUCGGGACCUACCAAAUGGCAGAGCUAAAAGAGCUAUAACACAGGACUGAAACAUGCCCCCUGCUUGCCACAUUGAGGGCAAAGAGAAGGAGAUAAGAUCUGUGCCUUCUCAGGCAGCCCAGACCUGGGAGCUCCCUGAGCCAGGGCUGUGACUCCCUCUUUGGGGUCCUGUGGUGCCUAGUAUCUCCAAGCUUCCAGGUGCCACUGCAUUUCCCGGUGCCAGCUGGGGAAGCUUCCUGCAGUGCACCUGGUCUGGCCACAGCCUCACAGAGAGUCAGUGCCUGUGCCAGCACCUGUAACUGCCCGCCCCAUUGCAGCAGCCGGCAUGUCCGAUUGCACACUGGCUGAACCCCAUGCUCCCUCACACACCCCUUGCCACUCCAUGCCUGACUUACCCUUGGCAGGUAUGGGAUCCAGGCCAGUAGUGUCAGCCAAGUAAAGCCUGCCAGGCCAGGUAGGCAGAACAAACCCAGCGGGCCUAAGCAAGACUUGGGCAAAGACAUCACCAGCCAGAAAAACAAUAUCCCAAGAAUCUUGUGACACUAGGCAUAGUGAAGUUCUUUAUUAAUUUGUAGAUUUUUAACCUGGAAAAUUCUAAUAUUUUCAACUAUUAAAAAAGAUAAUCCCCAAAAUAAUGCUUUAUUGUCAUGUAAAAUAUUAAAUAGAUUGUAUGUAACUUAGCUAUAUUAUUCUAAGAUAAAAUUCAUUAACUUGUCUUUAAGAAACUAGUUCCUAAAAUGCACUUUGAACUGUAUUUAUAAUCUCACUAGUCCUCUACUUAAUUAGGAAGUGGAAUAAAAUAUUUGAUAUAUUUUCUUUUUAUAUUUACAAAAGUCACCAUUUAAAUUCUUUGAAUUUUAACAUGUUAUACUUUUGGAGGAUCCACUGAGACACUAAAGUGGGUUCAUAAAGCCAACCAAACUGUGAUAGCACAGAAAUGUACUUCAGGAGCUGUUUAGGAGGAGAGACUUUUCUUUCUCCUCAAAGUGAUUCUCAAAUAGCAAUAGAGUCCUGGUGCAGUGGCUCAUGCCUACAAUCGAGCACUUUGGGAGGCCAAGGUGGGAGAAUUGUUUGAGCCCAGGAGUUCAAGAUCAGCAUAGGCAACAUAGCGAGACCUCAUCUCUACAAAAAAUACAGAAAUUAGCCAGGUGUGCCGGCAUGUGCUGUGUUUUUUGUCCAGCUACUUGGGAGGCUGAAGUGGAGGGAUUUCUUGAAACUGGGAGGUCAAGACUGAAGUAAGCCAUGAUCCUGCCACUAUACUCCUACAUGGGGGAAAGAGCAAGACUCUGUCUCAAAAAAAAAAAAAAAAAAAGAAAAAAAGAAAAAAAAGGCAAUAGAACUGUACCUUUGCUGUGAUGCUAGUCUACUACAAGUUGGCUUUUUUCUUUAAAUUUUGAAUUUUUCAUUUUCUUUUCUAGUUCUUCACCAUUUUGGUUCUGGAUAUAGUUUCCACUAGAAGAUGAUAAUGAUGAUAAUGAUAAUCCCCAUGCAUGCAUUAAUAAUUGGGAAUGUAAUUUUAUAAUCUGAACUUUAAAGACCUCUGUUAAGAUUAAAGGGAUUUCUUGUCCUUCAUAUGAGACAUGACAAGGA